rnacentral:rRNA from 1 species
AACCUACCCUUGGGACGGGGACAACGCCGGGAAACUGGCGAUAAUCCCCGAUAGGUGAGGGAUGCUGGGAUGCUUCUUCGCUCAAAGCUCCGGCGCCCGAGGAUGGGACUGCGGCCUAUCAGGCUGUUGGUGGUGUGACGGACCACCAAACCUACGACGGGUACGGGCGAUGGGAGUCGGAGCCUGGAGAUGGGGACUGAGACAAGGCCCCAGGCCCUACGGGGCGCAGCAGGCGCGAAAACUCCGCAAUGCGCGCAAGCGUGACGGGGGAACCCCAAGUGCCGUUGGUCUUUUGAUCGACGGCUUUUCGGAAGUCCAAUAAGCUUCCGGAAUAAGGGCUGGGCAAGACUGGUGCCAGCCGCCGCGGUAACACCAGCAGCCCAAGUGGUGGCCGCGAUUAUUGGGCCUAAAGCGCUCGUAGCCGGAUCAGUAAGUCCUUUGUGAAAUCGGGCCGCCCAACGGUUCGGCGUGCAAAGGAUACUGUUGGUCUUGAGACCGGGAGAGGUCGGAGGUACUCUUGGGGUAGCGGUGAAAUGCUGUAAUCCUGGGGGGACCA